AUAUGCAAAGAGCUCGAGUUGCUUCGCCAGCUCAGGGCUUGGCUGCUCCAGCCCAGGACAGGGCAGGGAGGUCAGGAGGCGGAGAGGAUGCGCCCUGUCCUGGCAGGAGGGGCCUCCUAUGGAUAACCAGAAUCUGCCCCAGUCGGGGGCAGGGUGGGCAUUCUUGGGGAGGAUUUGUAGCCCUCCCCGCACACCAAAGACCAAGGGGGAAUCUGUGACUUCGGGAGACAGUUGCAGCUGAAAACAGGGGAUCGGCCAAAGCUGCACACGUGCAUCUCGAGAGCGGCGAAGAUUCGACACCUCUUCAACAGGACACGGGAGCCAGGUGGGGGUGUCCAGCCCUCAGCCCUCAGCCCAGGACAGACCAGCGAAACGCCGUCCACCCAUAGGUGCCUCCAUGCCAUGGUACGCCCUUGCAGCCUAAGUGAAGCACGGAUUCCUGCUACAACAGGGACGAACCUUGAAAACUCAACGCUCUGUGGAAGAGGCCGGACACGGAGGGCACUUGUGAUUCCACUUUCAUGAAAUGUCAGAAAUUGCAAAGCCACGGAGACAACAAGUCGAUUGGUGGUUGCCAGGGGCUGGGGGCGGGGUUUGGGAGUGAUGGCUUACAGGUACAAGGUGUGUUUUGACAAAUUGAAAAGAUUCUGGAAGUACAUGGUGGUGAUGGUUGCACAACAUUGUGAAUGUCCUUAAUGCCACUGAAAAGCACACUUAACAAUGGCUGAAUUUGCCGGGCGUGGUGGUGCGGGCCUGUAAUUCAGCUGCUCGGGA
rnacentral:lncRNA from 10 species